rnacentral:rRNA from 1 species
AGAGUUUGAUCAUGGCUCAGAUUGAACGCUGGCGGAAUGCUUUACACAUGCAAGUCGAACGGCAGCACGGGGGCAACCCUGGUGGCGAGUGGCGAACGGGUGAGUAAUACAUCGGAACGUGCCCAGUCGUGGGGGAUAACUACGCGAAAGCGUAGCUAAUACCGCAUACGAACUCUGGUUGAAAGCGGGGGAUCGCAAGACCUCGCGCGAUUGGAGCGGCCGAUGGCAGAUUAGGUAGUUGGUGGGGUAAAGGCUCACCAAGCCUGCGAUCUGUAGCUGGUCUGAGAGGACGACCAGCCACACUGGGACUGAGACACGGCCCAGACUCCUACGGGAGGCAGCAGUGGGGAAUUUUGGACAAUGGGCGAAAGCCUGAUCCAGCCAUUCCGCGUGCAGGAUGAAGGCCCUCGGGUUGUAAACUGCUUUUGUACGGAACGAAACGCGCUGUGUUAAUACCAUGGCGUAAUGACGGUACCGUAAGAAUAAGCACCGGCUAACUACGUGCCAGCAGCCGCGGUAAUACGUAGGGUGCAAGCGUUAAUCGGAAUUACUGGGCGUAAAGCGUGCGCAGGCGGUGAUGUAAGACAGAUGUGAAAUCCCCGGGCUCAACCUGGGAACU